rnacentral:rRNA from 1 species
UACGUAGGGUGCAAGCGUUGUCCGGAAUUAUUGGGCGUAAAGAGCUCGUAGGCGGUUUGUCGCGUCUGCUGUGAAAAUCCAGGGCUUAACCCUGGACCUGCAGUGGGUACGGGCAGACUGGAGUGCGGUAGGGGAGAUCGGAAUUCCUGGUGUAGCGGUGAAAUGCGCAGAUAUCAGGAGGAACACCGGUGGCGAAGGCGGAUCUCUGGGCCGUAACUGGCGCUGAGGAGCGAAAGCAUGGGGAGCGAACAGG